GACGAACCGUGCGAACGUUGUUCGGAAUUACUGGGCGUAAAGGGCGCGUAGGCGGCCUCUUAAGUCGAACGUGAAAUCCCCGGGCUCAACCCGGGAACUGCGUCCGAUACUGGGGGGCUUGAAUCCGGGAGAGGGAUGUGGAAUUCCAGGUGUAGCGGUGAAAUGCGUAGAUAUCUGGAGGAACACCGGUGGCGAAGGCGGCAUCCUGGACCGGUAUUGACGCUGAGGCGCGAAAGCCAGGGGAGCAAACGGG
rnacentral:rRNA from 1 species